GCCGCGGUGGCAUCCCCCGUCCUCCGGCCGUUUGAACCCGUGACCCCCGCCGCAUCGCUGCGGCUCCCCCGCACGCGCGUUCUGGAGCCGCCCCUCAGGACGUGGGCCAAGGAGGCCGCCUGAGCGAGCCCGGCGCUGUCCCCGUUCUCCGGGCGCCUCACUCCCUUCGCGCCCCUCCGGUCGCCACAGACGACCCGCUCACCCCUCCCCGGGUUUUCUGCGGUUGCCUGCAGCCGGGAGGAGCAAGUGCGUGGGCUCCGGGCUCCCUCUCACCGGUUGUGCGGGUAAACGAGCCAGGACGGAUGUGGAAUGCCUGGAGGCGGUGGAGUACAAGAAUUUUAUGCUGAUCAUAAACCUGAAUCCGAAGUGCUGUGAACAAGCUGAACCAACAUCAAACACAGAAUAAGAAAUUUUCUCUCGUCUGGAAUAUCUGUCACAAAACAAAGAUCAAAUCUAUUGGAUAAG